rnacentral:sRNA from 1 species
AAGAGUUGAAGUUAACCUAAAUUGGUCGCAUCCUUGCGACAACGGUUAACUGACCUGCAUCACUCAGG